AGUUAUCUCUCUGAAA
rnacentral:sRNA from 1 species